GGUACGGCGGUGCCGGGAUGCGCGGUUAGCGGGAGGGGGCAGGCGUGUGCUGGGAUUAGUGGUGGGUAAGGGGUCGUGGGCGGGUCGUCGCGGCCGUGGUGAAAGUCCAGCGCUUAACGGUGGCUCGGCGCCGGGUACGGGCGGGCUGGAGUGCGGUAGGGGAGACUGGAAUUCCCGGUGUAACGGUGGAAUGUGUAGAUAUCGGGAAGAACACCAAUGGCGAAGGCAGGUCUCUGGGCCGUUACUGACGCUGAGGAGCGAAAGCGUGGGGAGCGAACAGGAUUAGAUACCCGUGUAGUC
rnacentral:rRNA from 1 species